UACGUAGGGAGCAAGCGUUGUCCGGAAUCAUUGGGCGUAAAGCGCGCGUAGGUGGCCUCAUAAGUCCGCUGUGAAAGUCAAAGGCUCAACCUUUGAAAGCCGGUGGAUACUGUGAGGCUAGAGUACGGAAGAGGCGAGUGGAAUUCCUGGUGUAGCGGUGGAAUGCGCAGAGAUCCGGAAGAACACCGGUGGCGAAGGCGGCCUGCUGGGCAGUUUAGCUGACACUGAGGCGCGACAGCGUGGGGAGCAAACAGG
rnacentral:rRNA from 1 species